GUUAAUAAGGGCGCACGGUGGAUGCCUUGGCACUAGAAGCCGAAGAAGGACGUGACAAACGACGAAAUGCUUUGGGGAGCUGUAAGUAAGCGCUGAUCCAGAGAUGUCCGAAUGGGGGAACCCACUAACUAAUGGUUAGUAUCCAUAACUGUUAAGGUUAUGAGAAGGAAGACGCAGUGAACUGAAACAUCUAAGUAGCUGCAGGAAGAGAAAGCAAACGCGAUUGCCUUAGUAGCGGCGAGCGAAACGGCAGGAGGGCAAACCGAAGUGUUUACACUUCGGGGUUGUAGGACUGCGACGUGGGACUUUAAAAGGAUAGAAGAAUUACCUGGGAAGGUAAGCCAAAGAGAGUAACAGCCUCGUAUUUAAAAUUCUUUUGAGCCCUAGCAGUAUCCUGAGUACGGCGAGACACGUGAAAUCUCGUUGGAAUCUGGGAGGACCAUCUCCCAACCCUAAAUACUCUCUAGUGACCGAUAGUGAACCAGUACCGUGAGGGAAAGGUGAAAAGCACCCCGGGAGGGGAGUGAAAUAGAACCUGAAACCGUGUGCCUACAACAAGUUCGAGCCCGUUAAUGGGUGAGAGCGUGCCUUUUGUAGAAUGAACCGGCGAGUUACGAUAUGAUGCGAGGUUAAGUUGAAGAGACGGAGCCGUAGGGAAACCGAGUCUUAAUAGGGCGAUUUAGUAUCAUGUUGUAGACCCGAAACCAUGUGACCUACCCAUGAGCAGGUUGAAGGUGAGGUAAAACUCACUGGAGGACCGAACCAGGGCACGUUGAAAAGUGCUUGGAUGACUUGUGGGUAGCGGAGAAAUUCCAAACGAACUUGGAGAUAGCUGGUUCUCUCCGAAAUAGCUUUAGGGCUAGCGUCGAUGUUAAGUCUCUUGGAGGUAGAGCACUGUUUGGGUGAGGGGUCCAUCUCGGAUUACCAAUCUCAGAUAAACUCCGAAUGCCAACGAGAUAUCAUCGGCAGUCAGACUGCGAGUGCUAAGAUCCGUAGUCGAAAGGGAAACAGCCCAGACCACCAGCUAAGGUCCCAAAAUAACUGUUAAGUGGAAAAGGAUGUGGGGUUGCACAGACAACUAGGAUGUUAGCUUAGAAGCAGCUAUUCAUUCAAAGAGUGCGUAAUAGCUCACUAGUCGAGUGACCCUGCGCCGAAAAUGUACCGGGGCUAAAACAGUUUACCGAAGCUGUGGAUGACACAAAAGUGUCAUGGUAGGAGAGCGUUCUAUGUGUGAAGAAGGUGUACCGUGAGGAGCGCUGGAACGCAUAGAAGUGAGAAUGCCGGUAUGAGUAGCGAAAGACAGGUGAGAAUCCUGUCCACCGUAAGACUAAGGUUUCCAGGGGAAGGCUCGUCCGCCCUGGGUUAGUCGGGACCUAAGGAGAGACCGAAAGGUGUAUCCGAUGGCCAACAGGUUGAUAUUCCUGUACUAGAGUAUAUAGUGAUGGAGGGACGCAGUAGGCUAACUAAACCGGACGAUUGGAAGAGUCCGGCUAAGCAGUGAGGUGUAAGAUGAGUCAAAUGCUUAUCUUUAUAACAUUGAGCUGUGAUGGGGAGCGAAUUUUAGUAGCGAAGUUAGUGAUGUCACACUGCCAAGAAAAGCUUCUAGCGUUUAAUGAUACUCUACCCGUACCGCAAACCGACACAGGUAGUCGAGGCGAGUAGCCUCAGGUGAUCGAGAGAACUCUCGUUAAGGAACUCGGCAAAAUGACCCCGUAACUUCGGGAGAAGGGGUGCUGACUUAGGUCAGCCGCAGUGAAUAGGCCCAAGCAACUGUUUAUCAAAAACACAGCUCUCUGCUAAAUCGUAAGAUGAUGUAUAGGGGGUGACGCCUGCCCGGUGCUGGAAGGUUAAGAGGAGGGUUUAGCGCAAGCGAAGAUCUGAAUUGAAGCCCCAGUAAACGGCGGCCGUAACUAUAACGGUCCUAAGGUAGCGAAAUUCCUUGUCGGGUAAGUUCCGACCCGCACGAAAGGCGUAAUGAUUUGGGCACUGUCUCAACGAGAGACUCGGUGAAAUUUUAGUACCUGUGAAGAUGCAGGUUACCCGCGACAGGACGGAA
rnacentral:rRNA from 1 species